rnacentral:tRNA from 1 species
UAUUUUGGCAGAUUAGUGUAUUUGAUUUAGAAUCAUUUUAAGUAAAAAUUUAUUACAAGUAAUAU